UACGUAGGUGGCAAGCGUUAUCCGGAAUUAUUGGGCGUAAAGAGCGCGCAGGUGGUUGAUUAAGUCUGAUGUGAAAGCCCACGGCUUAACCGUGGAGGGUCAUUGGAAACUGGUCGACUUGAGUGCAGAAGAGGGAAGUGGAAUUCCAUGUGUAGCGGUGGAAUGCGCAGAGAUCAGGAGGAAUACCGAAGGCGAAGGCAGUCUUCCAAGCCGUUAUUGACGCUCAACUGCGAAAGGUGUGGGGUAUCAAACAGGAUUAGAUA
rnacentral:rRNA from 1 species